CUUCCUAGAAAAAAGACCAGAGGACACAGGACAAUAUCCAGAUCACAUCCGAAUCUGAGAGAACCCAGCGCCUCGCGAAGGGGUGUAGAACAUUGUGUGCAAGACUUAUGGAGACCCUAUCCUUUCAAAGGUACAGAAACAGUAUAUCAGCC